CAAGUGGGUCACUGGGCAUCCAUGAGCUUCAUUUGGCUUUUUCAGAGAUCCACUGAGGUGAUCAAUGUAAGUUCUAUGGAAUGGCAAGCAGUUUUUGGCCUCCUUUCCUGCCUAUUACCAUAAACCCCCAGCAGUAGGAAAAAGACUGAGAGGUGUACUCAGUGGUUCUGUUUCUAUCAUCCCAGUUCUAAUGCUUCCUUAAUUGGUGGUAAUGUUUCCUUUUUAUUUUAAACCGAUUUUUUUUCCGAGAUAUAAUCCACAUAUUUUACAAUUCACCCAUUUAAAAAGUACAAUUCAAUAGCUUUUAGCAUAUUCAUAGAGUUGCACAAUCAUCACCACAAUCAAUUUUACACCACUUUUAUCAUCUCGCCCAAACCGCAUAUCUCACACAUACCUCAAAUAAACCCCAUUUCCAUACUAAUAGCAGUUAUGCCCCAACCCUCACAUAUAAUAUCCAGGAAACGAGUAAUAUACUGUCUCUUGAGAGUUGUCUUUUCUGGACAUUUAAUGGAAAUCAAAUCAUAUAAUCUGUGGCCUUAUGUGACUAGCUUUAUUUAUUUAGCAUGCUAUUUUCAAAGUUUUUCCAUGUUGUACAUGAAUCGGUACUUCAUAUCUUUUUAUUGCUGAUAACAUUCCAUUGUAUGAACACACCGCAUUUUGUCCAUGCAUUCAUUGUGACUCUUUCUACUGUUUGACUAUUAAGAAUAACUGUCUUUUUUAUUAUUCUUUCUUUUUGGGGGGAUGGGGUGCUAGGGAUUGAAUUCAGGGGCACUCGACCACUGAGCCACAUUCCCAGCCCAAUUUUGUAUUUUAUUUGGAGACAGGGUUGCUUUGUGCCUCUCUGUCGCUGAGGCUGGCUUUGAAUUUGAGAUCCUCCUGCC
rnacentral:lncRNA from 1 species